AUGGAGGGGGAUAACUACUGGAAACGGUAGCUAAUACCGCAUAACGUCGCAAGACCAAAGAGGGGGACCUUCGGGCCUCUUGCCAUCGGAUGUGCCCAGAUGGGAUUAGCUAGUAGGUGGGGUAAAGGCUCACCUAGGCGACGAUCCCUAGCUGGUCUGAGAGGAUGACCAGCCACACUGGAACUGAGACACGGUCCAGACUCCUACGGGAGGCAGCAGUGGGGAAUAUUGCACAAUGGGCGCAAGCCUGAUGCAGCCAUGCCGCGUGUAUGAAGAAGGCCUUCGGGUUGUAAAGUACUUUCAGCGGGGAGGAAGGGAGUAAAGUUAAUACCUUUGCUCAUUGACGUUACCCGCAGAAGAAGCACCGGCUAACUCUGUGCCAGCAGCCGCGGUAAUACGGAGGGUGCAAGCGUUAAUCGGAAUUACUGGGCGUAAAGCGCACGCAGGCGGUUUGUUAAGUCAGAUGUGAAAUCCCCGGGCUCAACCUGGGAACUGCAUCUGAUACUGGCAAGCUUGAGUCUCGUAGAGGGGGGUAGAAUUCCAGGUGUAGCGGUGAAAUGCGUAGAGAUCUGGAGGAAUACCGGUGGCGAAGGCGGCCCCCUGGACGAAGACUGACGCUCAGGU
rnacentral:rRNA from 1 species